AACACAGUCGGGCCGGCGGACGGCGGCGCGACCGAGCGCUCCGCCCCCGGCGCCACGUGGGCGCAGGAGGCCCCGCCCCCGCCCGCCGCGGGCCCCAGGGCCUCCCCGGCGGGGCGCGUGUGACCUUGGGCGCGCCGGCCCCGCCCCGCCACCCCGCCGGGACCCCGGGAGCGGCGGACUCGCAGUGGUCGCGAGGACGUAACCGACCCACGCCCCGCUCGCGCGCAGGCCGGAAGAUGGAGAACAUGAUGUGUAAGGUGAAGUGACGGGGCCAAGGUGGCAGAGCAGAGUGGGACCUGGAGCUGGGCCCUCUCUCCCGCAUCCAUCCCACGGCCUCUGCUCCGGCCACACGGAAGGGGGCUUCAGGGUCCGGGUCUGCAGGACCUAGUUUUGGCUGAGAUGUCUCCCCGGAGAACGAUGCCCUCCUGAAGUCGCACGCAGCCCGUCUGUUUCGUGAUCCUGUCUCAUUGGCUUCAGAGCCUCAUUUGAUGGUUUACCGUGCCUUGCCCGCUUCCAAGAGCCGCACCCACGCCGGCCUUACCCACUGGAAGCGCUCGGGUGGGGAAGCCCAGCUGGGCGUGGACCCUGAGGAUCUGCCAGGAAGACACCCCCAGCCUCCGUACUUCAUGUGAUCCGUCCCCCUGACAGCAGAGUGUUGCAGCUUCUGGAGUCCCAGACGCAGCUCGUCCUGAGGGCGCCUUGAGGAUCUCCAGGGAGCCCGAUGCAGGACUCGAUCCUGGGACUCCAGGAUUACGACCUGAGCCAAAGGCAGUCGCCCAACCAACUGCGCUACCCAGGCGCCCCUAUGUGUAUCUUUCAACAUUGAUAUUCUCUGUAUAUCUAUCCCUGGAAUAUUGUCCUUUCUUCCUCCUUUUUUUCUGGUUUUAGACAUAAAAAGUCUGUUACACACACACCAGGUACUAAGGAACUUACUGAUCCAGGUUCCUGUACUUUGCAUCAUCACUGCUGAGGACUUUGCAGUAGGGAAGAGAAUUUGGUACCUGGGCACAGAGAGCGAGCAUCUCACCCUGUUAGAGAACUGGGCUAAAGCAGUGAUACGCAGAGUGAGGCUGUGGACCUUUCCUGGCCUGCCAACUGUGUACAUGUCUGUGACCAGAAAGUAUACAGAAAUACACGUUUAGGAACUUCUUUAGGAAUUUGACAUUCUAAUGACAUCCGAGAGUGGAUCCCGUGGACUUGUCAUCUGUUUUACAAAACACACUGGGAAGAGGUCCAAAGGCUGGUCCUUCACUGCACAUAGCUUGGGAAAGACUGGAAGAAGGAACUCACCUAAAACUUUUGGGCAAGCCAUGAGCCAUACCUAGAAACCCAAGACAACAACUGGAAAAUUACCAUACGAUGGAUGCAUUUUUUUUUUUAAAAAUCAGUAAUAUUCCUAUAUACAAGUAGCAGCUCCCCAGAAAGUACAAUGGAAGAAAAGAUCCCUUUUACCAUACAAAAUAAAGGGGAAGACACCCAGGAAUAAACUAAAAAAAAAAUGUGCAAAGUCUGUAUGAAUGAUUUUCUCUCUUUGAGAACUGGAAGACACCAGAAAUUUUCUUGACAAAAUCAAGGUUAUGAAGGACCCCGACUCACUUCGGAGUAGGCCUAGAGGACGUCCAAGCGAGCCGCGGUGCGGUUCUGGGAGCUCAUGGCUUCUUGCAGAGACGUACGAACACACACACGUCUGUCUCCUCGGACCUGCCUAUUCUAGAUACUUCUGUAAAUGGAAUCAUACAGUAUUCUUUGUGUCUGGCUGGCUCCUUUCACUGAACAUCACGUUUUCAGGGCUCAUCCAUGUUCUGGCGUGAGUCAACACGUCAUUCCUCUUGGUAGCCGAAUAGUAUUCCAUUGUAUGGAUAGACCACAUUUUGCUUAAUGUGCAUCUGCUGAUGAACACUUGGGCUGUGUCUUCCUUUUGGCUCUUAAGAAUAAUGCUGCUGCGAACAUGUACCUACAAGUAUUUGAGGCCCUGUGUGCAAUUCUUCCGAGUAUACAGCUGGGACUGCCAACUGCUGGGUCACACGGAAAUUCCAUUUCAACUUUCUGAGAAACUGCCAGGCUGUUUUGCACAGUGGCCACACCUUUCUACAUUUCCAACGGCAAUGUACGGAGGGUUCCAGUUUCUGGACAUCCUUGCUAGCACUUCCUAGUUUCCAUUUUAAAAAAUAUCCAUCCUUGUAGAUGCGAGGUGGUAUCUCACUGUAUUUUGAUUUGCAUUUCCCUAAUGAUUAAUGAUGUUGAGUAUCUUUUCAUGUGCUGGUUGGACAUUUAUAUGUCUUCCUUGGAUAAAACAAAU